GCGAAGAGCCGCGGCGCCCUGUGGGCUCGCUCGCUUCCGUCCCUCUUUGAUGGCGGCGGUGCGAGGCCCGUGUCUGCUCGCCCAGAAUUUGAAGCACUUACCGUGGAAACAGAAAGAUUCAGUGUAGAAUCCUUUCUCUGGCAGAAGGAAGCGGUGUGUGCUAGUACUGGCCGUUGCGCGGGACCCCGGGGUCUCUCCCCCCAAAGCGGCCUCCCACGUUCCUGCUCACCCCGGGCUCAGUCCCGCAGCUCCAGGCGUUGAGCUUGCUUUCCAGUCCCUGGGUGGACACUGAGCGAUAGAAAUUCCGUGCAAGCCGCGGACACCCACACGGCAGAGCCCAUCACGCAAAGUCCUGCGGUUUGGUUAGGAACCAAAACUGGGGGCCUGUGAGGAGGUGGAGAAUCACUUCACUUGACUGACCCAGGAAGACUCCCUGAAGGAGAUGAGGCCUGAGUUGGCCUCAGCCCUCUAAGUUUGUCACAAAGGAUCACCACAUUCUCCAUUCCUUGUUGAGGACAGUGAUGUGCUGAGAGCUAAUGGAGAGUGGUUUAAAAAAAAAAAAAAAAUUCUGAAGAGAAACGUCCUUCUGUCUGAGAACAUGAGUCUGCAAAUCUGGACACAGGCGACGUGGAAGUUCAAGGAUAGGCCAAGAGCAAGCGGGUGCCUCGGACUCACAGAGACCUAGGUCCCAACCCAGGGGUCUUCUCUUGCUAGUGUGUGACCUUCCCACUCUGCAGAUGGAAAAGUCAAGGCUCAGAAGGUUAAGGGACCCACUAGCUGGCCAGUAAUGAGCCCAGCAGAAACCAAAGCAGCCUGCACGCAGACCUGUGGGCUCAGCCAUUCUUAUCCCCACGACAGCACUGGAGCUCACAUUCUCUUGGGCUUGCUGUUGGGCUUCCAAGGUAAAGAGACGAAUCAAGACUGCAUGUCGCCCCUGUGACAGUCUACGUUAUGCAACUGGAAAAAAUUAGCCAC